GAUGAACGCUGGCGGCGUGCUUAACACAUGCAAGUCGAACGAAGCACUUUAUUUGAUUUCCUUCGGGACUGAUUAUUUUGUGACUGAGUGGCGGACGGGUGAGUAACGCGUGGGUAACCUGCCUUGUACAGGGGGAUAACAGUUGGAAACGGCUGCUAAUACCGCAUAAGCGCACAGCAUCGCAUGAUGCAGUGUGAAAACCUCCGGUGGUAUAAGAUGGACCCGCGUUGGAUUAGCUAGUUGGUGAGGUAACGGCCCACCAAGGCGACGAUCCAUAGCCGACCUGAGAGGGUGACCGGCCACAUUGGGACUGAGACACGGCCCAAACUCCUACGGGAGGCAGCAGUGGGGAACACUGCACAAUGGGCGAAAGCCUGAUGCAGCGACGCCGCGUGAGCGAAGAAGUAUUUCGGUAUGUAAAGCUCUAUCAGCAGGGAAGAUAAUGACGGUACCUGACUAAGAAGCACCGGCUAAAUACGUG
rnacentral:rRNA from 1 species